UAGAACGUAGCAUAAACCAAUGUAUUUCACUUACGCUGAAAUGAUACUUCCAACACGGAGUCGNUUUAA
rnacentral:tRNA from 1 species